rnacentral:rRNA from 1 species
UACGUAGGGGGCGAGCGUUGUCCGGAUUUAUUGGGCGUAAAGAGCUCGUAGGCGGUUUGGAAAGUCGGGUGUGAAACUCCGGCUCAACUCGGAGACGCCACUCGAUACUGCCAUGACUAGAGUCCGGUAGGGGAGUGCGGAAUUCCUGGUGUAGCGGUGAAAUGCGCAGAUAUCAGGAGGAACACCUGUGGUGUAGACGGCUUUCUGGACCAUAGCUGACGCUGAGACACGAAAGCGUGGGUAGCAAACAGG